rnacentral:rRNA from 1 species
CAGCCGCCGCGGUAAUACAGAGGGUGCGAGCGUUAAUCGGAUUUACUGGGCGUAAAGCGUGCGUAGGCGGCUUCUUAAGUCGGAUGUGAAAUCUCUGAGCUUAACUUAGGAAUUGCAUUCGAUACUGGGAAGCUAGAGUAUGGGAGAGGAUGGUAGAAUUCCAGGUGUAGCGGUGAAAUGCGUAGAGAUCUGGAGGAAUACCGAUGGCGAAGGCAGCCAUCUGGCCUAAUACAGACGCUGAGGUACGAAAGCAUGGGGAGCAAACAGGAUUAGAUACCCCAGUAGUCCCUGUCUCUUAUAC